rnacentral:lncRNA from 1 species
CCUGCCUUCGAUCUUAGCACUCAGUAGGUGGCAACAGGCAUAUAUGUCUGUGAGUUUGAAGCCAGCCUGGUCUACAGAGCAAGUUCCAGAACUGCCAGGCUACAUUGCAAGACCCUGCCUCAAAAACAAACAAACAAACAAACAAACAAAACCAAGGAAGGGACCAAAGGUCAGACGCCAGGUCCCAACUCCAGCCACCUCCGGGGACUCACACCAACACCCAGCCCAGCUGCCUCCCGGGACCCCGUGAUCCCCACAGGGGUGAGAUGGACAGACAGAUACGGAGGUCGGAUGGACAGACCGAUGCAGGACCUGACGGGGCCAGGCGGGGUGGGGGUGCAGAUCCGGGCAGGGCUGGCCGCGGUGACCGCGGGGCCGCCUCCUGGGUGCCUUCCGCUCCCCGGAAGCGCUGAGUCGUCGCUGCCUUAUCUGGCGGCCGCUAUUUCGGGCUCCGCUUCGCAGCAGCGCGGUGACUAUUUUUAGCGGCGUUCGGGUAAAAAUGGACCCAGCGCGCGCGCGGGUGGCCGAGGCCGUGCGCGCCUGGGGAGCCGGGGACGCGCCUGAGUCACCGCCGCACAGAAUCUUCCAGGAGCCCCAGGCGCAGUUAGGAGGGGGGAUAUCGCGGCGGAAUAAGGAAACCGAGGCACGCAGACACCCCCGCCCCCGGGGGGAGAUUGCAACAAGGGCUCUUGAGCUGACUGCAAGGUGAAGCUUCCAUACAUUGCACAAAAGAUUCCCUCUUCAAUGAGAGAACAAGGUUUGUGUCACCAAACCCAGAGCUUCAUGGUUCCUAGGCGAGGACUCUCCCAAUAAGCCGUUAUUUCAUCUAAUGUUAGCACUAUUUUAGGAAAGAGCUCACUGUGCCCUCCAAGCUGGCACGUAGCUGUCCAAUUCUCCUGCCUCAGCCAUCAUUCAUUGACCCCAACAGGGUCACAUGCUUGCCCCUGAAUCAAUCCUGGUCACUUGUGGGCAGAGGAUUGGGCUGGGCCGGUGUGAGGUGAAUUUGCCUGGAAAGGUAGGAUAGAUGGAACUCAAGGUAACCCUGUGAGCUGAGGGUUGGGGUGCGAGCAUUCUGGCCCCUGUGGCUGGGAGGAGGGGAAGGCAGGACAGGUUUCCUUCCGUGUUAAACAUAAGAGAACAAACAGUACCUUCCCUUCCAGGGUGAGGGCGAGCAUUUGUGGCGGAGGCAUUCAGCCCACAGUUUGGCAGGGAGCGGCUGCUGGGUGACAGGCGGUUUCUACUUUAAAACAGUCACCAUUAUUACCACCGCUGCUGCAGAGAGGUGUCUAGGAGCUGGGAAGUUGUGAUCUCCCCGGCUCAGGAGGGAACCAAGCCGAGGCUGAGCAAAUCUGAGAUGGAAACUCAUGCUCUCCACUUCCUGAAAGCAGUCUGCCCCUGAGCCCCCUUGGAGUCUACCCCGGAUGGAUGGGAUGAAGGAAGCCAGAGGUAUCAGCCUGUCACUGUUCUUUGUCACAGAUCUCAAGGUCUACUCUCACCAAUGCUUUCUAUAAUCGCCACCCUCCCCCAAAACCCAAACAACCCGGGGUUUCUCUGUGUAGCUCUGGCUAUCUUGAAACCCACUCUGUAGCCCAGGCUGGCCUCAAACUCAGAGAUCCGCCUGUCUCUGCCUCCUGAGUGUUGGGAUUAAGGGCGUGCACUGCACCCAGCCUGUUUUCUUUUUGUUAUGGUGCUUGGGGCAGAACUCAGAGCUUCUAAAGAGAUGGGUGAGCACUGCAUGGUUGACCCAACCUCCAAGACCCUCUCUAGUGAUUUGAUCUGUUUGCUAGCCUGUUUCUUAAACUGCAGCAUAGACUCAGUCUGCCCAAGCGCCCCCCCCAUUGACGCGAGACUCCUCCUUUGAGUUUUCUUUGGCCACAGAGAGCAUCUGCGCCUCCUUCACUGUUGCAUCCCCAAAGGGUACCACAGCUCAGCAAAGCUCCUAAAGUUCAUUCAUUCAUUCAUUCAUUC